UCCGCGCGCCGCGUUCCGCCCCGCAGGGUUGCCACAGGAAGUUAAUAGAUGUCACGUCCGUCUCCGCCCCGCCGACGGUGGCCGAAGGGCUGCGGCGGCCGUGGAGAUGUUGCUUCCCCCUGCGCUCUAUUCCCGCCUGGCUGGGCCGCCCGGGGCAGCCGAACCGCUGCCGGUGGAGCGGAGCCCUGCAGCUGGGGCGGCGCCCUUCUGGUUCACACCGCGCCCCGUGCGCUUCCCGCGGGAUCACGAGUUCUUUGAGGAUGGGGAUGUGCAGCGGCACCUCUACCUGCAGGACAUGCUCACGCAAGUGUCCGAGACGCCGGAGAAGUCCAUGGUGCCUGAGUUCACCUGUCAGGUGGCUGGCUGCUGCCAAGUGUUUGCCGCCCUAGAGGACUACCAGCAUCACUAUCACAUGUUGCAUGGGAACACCUGCUCCCUCUGCAGCCGUGCCUUCCCCUCUGGGCAUUUGUUGGACGUCCACAUCCUGGAAUGGCAUGACUCUCUGUUCCAGAUCCUGGCCCAGAGGCAAGAUAUGUACCAGUGCUUGGUUGAAGGCUGCCCGCAGAAGUUCAAGACCAGCCAAGACCGGAAGGAUCACAUGGAAAAAAGUGUCUUCCUUGAGAGUCUAGUACUGGGGAACCAGGUACAAGUGCUGCCCACUGCUUUGUCCUCUACAGCCCAGCCAUGCCAGCUGCUCCAGACCCACCAGCCAGAGCCCUGAAAGAUGACAGUGACGCCAUGGAUAUCUGCUCUGAACCUGCUGCCCCACCUCCCUGCAGGCGGACCUACAGCCACAGAAUACCUUCUACUGUCUGUUUUGGCCAGGGUGCAGCCAGAGGCUUUAAAAGCACUAAGAAAAGAAACAAACACCACUGAUGGAUCCUGGUGAGGAAAGCCAGAUGGACUUUCGGGGAGUGGUGUGCCAGGACCUUUCUCUUGCUUCUGGAUAGCUGCCCUGAGCUGGACCAUUGCCACCUCCUUAUUUCCAUGUCUGAGCACAUGAAGCAGCCAGUGUGUAGAAACUCAGAAUCUGCAGAUUCCAGAAAUAACCAGGACACACUGAAGGAAUGAGAUGGAGACACCGCCUACCUGCUUCGUGGGGGCUGCUCUAAGAAUGUCACUAUUAAACAUAUGAAAUAAAUUUUUUCACUGAUGAUCAGAAAAGGGAA